rnacentral:lncRNA from 10 species
GGCGUGCUCUCGGCUCCCUGCAAGCUCCGCCUCCCGGAUUCACGCCAUUCUCCUGCCUCAGCCUCCCGAGAAGCUGGGACUACUGGCACCUGCCACCACGCCCGGCCAAUUUUUUUUUUUUUUUUUUUUUUUUCAGUAGAGACGGGGUUUCACCGUGUUAGCCAGGGUGGUCUUGAUCUCCUGACCUCGUGAUCUGCCCGCCUAGGCCUCCCAAAGCGCUGGGAUUACAGGCGUGAGCCACCGCGCCCGGCCAAUGGCUUCCUGUUGUAAUAGCUGAGGUGGCCAAACGACAGAGGGAAAGGGGGUCACCACAUUGCGUGCGGGCCCUUAUGGUCGCCCUGGGGAAGCUGCCUAUGCUCCCUGGACCUCAGCGUAUGAGCGGGGGAGCAAGACCCCUUUCACGGGGCUAAUUCAGGCUCGAGGCCUCCCUUGGCAUCCUCCACUGAACAAUACUCUAGGUGUUCAGUAGCUGGCGCUGAGAUUGCAAGGCGCCCGAAGGAGACCCUGGAGCACGGAGGAUUGCUGCGGGAUCUGGCAGUCCCCUUGACGCUACAGCUCUUUUUCUCUCUCUGCUUUCUUUCCCAGACUGACAGGGAGAGUGGAUCUCAUUUUUUUAAAACAAUGCUACUAAUAAAGAUGAUGGCAGGAACGAUGGAGUCCAGAUGAACCGCAGCAGCCAGUUCAAGUGACACAUUCGCAUCCCUUUCUUCUCUUUGGGGAAAAGGAAAGGCAUCAGCAGUUUCAAGUCAUUUAAUACAGAUUUCCAUCAUUGUUAUCCUAAGCAGAAUCACUGUUAUCGCUGUAAUAACAUUUGCCCGGCAUCCCCGCAAGCUGGGUGCCGUGCAUCUGGUGGCCACAUUGUCUGCACCAGAAGCCUGCAGAGUCGCCGGCUUUGACAAGGAGGGGGUGCUCUGUGGGGCGAGUGGGUGCGGUCAGGGAAGACCGGCGGCUUCUGUCCCGAGGGAUGGAUUCCAUUAGGCGGCGUUUCUCAGGGUGUCUCCGAGGCUGGUUGCAUCACAAUCGUGAAUACCUGCUAAUUACAUCAGAACGAAAAGAGACUUGCAUUUUUUAAGGCAAAUUUUGCAGAUUCUUCUUAUCCACGUGGAAGCCUGAGUGUCCUUGCUUUGAGCCAACACAGUAUCUGCUGCACUAACAUGGAAAAUCAGAAUGAGGAAGGCAACCAGGACAAGGUGCUCACGGGGCUGCCCGGAGGCUUUUUUUGUUUUGUUUUGUUUUUUUCCUUUUUCUGCUCUUCUAUGGGGAACAGAACAAAAAGUAGGUCAUGAAGAAGCAGGAGAACAGGGAGAAGCACAAGAUGAGAGGUGUGAGGGAGGAGGGGAGACGCCUGCACAAGGCUCAUCUAGAUAGAACCAGAGGAGGGUGUUGCUGGCCGUGCUCAUGACCCGGAGGGGGCCCUGCGGUGUGUGUGGGGAGGGGGUGCUGAGAGUGGACGCCCAGAGGAUAUGGCGGGAAUGGGACAGCUGCUUGUAUUCACCAUGUGCCCAUGGAUCACAGCGUUUCUGUCUUGGAGAUGAAAGUUUUCUAUGCUGGGAGGUGAGGGGGCUCUCAGGUCCUCAAUGUGGUGGUUCCGGAUUCAUGGUCUUUUUGGAGGGGUUAGGAACCCCUCUGAGAAUCUAGCACAAUCUACGAGCAUGCAGAAAUGCCUGUGUAUAUUCACAUUCCAGUCCAUUUCAGAGGCUCACUGGAUCCCUGAAACCCACUGCCUAGUUACUCCAGGUUGAGAACCCCAGCUCC